AAUGAGAGUUUGAUCCUGGCUCAGGACGAACGCUGGCGGCGUGCCUNAUACAUGCAAGUCGAGCGAUGAUUAAAGAUAGCUUGCUNUUUUUAUGAAGAGCGGCGAACGGGUGAGUAACGCGUGGGAAAUCUGCCGAGUAGCGGGGGACAACGUUUGGAAACGAACGCUAAUACCGCAUAACAAUGAGAAUCGCAUUAUUGUUNUUUGAAAGAAGCAAUUGCUNCACUNCUNGAUGAUCCCGCGUNGUAUNAGCUNGUUGGUAGUGUAAAGGACUACCAAGGCGAUGAUACAUAGCCGACCUGAGAGGGUGAUCGGCCACACUGGGACUNAGACACGGCCNNGACUCCUACGGGAGGCAGCAGUAGGGAAUCUUCGGCAAUGGGGGCAACCCUNACCGAGCAACGCCGCGUGAGUGAAGAAGGUUUUCGGAUCGUAAAACUCUNUUGUUAGAGAAGAACGUUAAGUAGAGUGGAAAAUUACUUAAGUGACGGUAUCUNACCAGAAAGGGACGGCUAACUACGUGCCAGCAGCCGCGGUAAUACGUAGGUCCCAAGCGUUNUCCGGAUUUAUUGGGCGUAAAGCGAGCGCAGGUGGUUUCUUAAGUCUGAUGUAAAAGGCAGUGGCUCAACCAUUGUGUGCAUUGGAAACUGGGAGACUUGAGUGCAGGAGAGGAGAGUGGAAUUCCAUGUGUAGCGGUGAAAUGCGUAGAUAUAUGGAGGAACACCGGAGGCGAAAGCGGCUCUCUGGCCUGUAACUGACACUGAGGCUCGNAAGCGUGGGGAGCAAACAGGAUUAGAUACCCUNGUAGUCCACGCCGUAAACGAUGAGUGCUAGCUGUAGGGAGCUAUAAGUUCUCUGUAGCGCAGCUAACGCAUUAAGCACUCCGCCUNGGGAGUACGACCGCAAGGUUGAAACUCAAAGGAAUUGACGGGGGCCGCACAAGCGGUGGAGCAUGUGGUUUAAUUCGAAGNAACGCGAAGAACCUUACCAGGGCUUGACAUACUNGUGCUNUCCUUAGAGAUAAGGAGUUCUUCGGGACACGGGAUACAGGUGGNGCAUNGUNGUCGUCAGCUCGUGUCGUGAGAUGUUGGGUGGAGUCCCGCAACGAGCGCAACCCUNNUUNCUNGUUGCCAUCAUUAAGUUGGGCACUCUNGUNAGACUGCCGGUGAUNAACCGGAGGAAGGUGGGGAUGACGUCAAAUCAUGAUGCCCCUUAUGACCUNGGCUACACACGUGCUACAAUGGAUGGUACAACGAGUCGCCAACCCGCGAGGGUGCGCUAAUCUCUUAAAACCAUUCUCAGUUCGGAUUGCAGGCUGCAACUNGCCUGCAUGAAGUCGGAAUCGCUAGUAAUCGCGGAUCAGCACGCCGCGGUGAAUACGUUCCCGGGCNUUGUACACACCGCNCGUCACACCACGGAAGUUGGGAGUACCCAAAGUAGGUUGCCUNACCGCAAGGAGGGCGCUNCCUNAGGU
rnacentral:rRNA from 1 species